rnacentral:ncRNA from 1 species
CUCUUAUACAGAGAGGUGGAGGGAAGUGCCCGAUGAAGCCCGGCAACCGUCAUGAAAAUGAAAUGGUGCCAAGUCACUCAAAGUGAAAACUUUGAAAGAUGAGAG